rnacentral:ncRNA from 2 species
AUCUUUACCUCAGAUUUUGGUCUGUUUUUUCUUAAGAAAAAACAGUUAAAAGGGAAUCAGGUGUAAAUCCUGAACAGACCCGCUACUGUAAGUUCUAUACAAGUCUUUAAACAUUACUAAUGCCAUUGUCACGCUGAGCGGGAUGAGAAGGUUGUUUUAAAGAUGGAACAAGUCAGGAGACCUGCCACAAUCACAUAGUUUAA